ACUUCCAACCACCGUCUCUCUUCCAUUACUCUCAAAAACCUAAAACCUAGCCGCCACAAUAACCACAAACACCAGCGUACACCCUACCCCCAGGCGACGAACGAUGUAUACCCAUUACUCUCAAAACAACAAAAACCACUAUGUCUUCGUGACGAACGGCGCACACCCAGGCAAAUCGUUAAGGGCUUUGGUAAAAAUGGUCAACAAUUGAACCGCUUCGAAGAGGCCUGCUAGACAAUCAAUAGGUACCAAAAGAGCACGAAAUCUUCAGGAUGGGGACAUCGGGGAAGAUAUGUCAGCUUCAUCAAGUCAUGGAAUACCUCAGGUUAACGAGGCAGCGGCUGAGGAGCAAGCUAAACAAGCUAGGAAUAAGAAGGAUGGCAAUCUAUAUUUCAGGAGAUGUCCUACUGAGUUUGUUUUGGAUGGAUGGAUGUUUGUCCUUUUGUGGAAAACUUAUUCGUUUUGUUUUGAUGAAUGGCUCUAUGUUUUUGUAAUGAAUUAUGGAUUGAUGGUUUUUGCAGAUAAAUUAAGGGAUUCAUAUUAAUG